ensembl:lncRNA
GCGGCUCGGAGCGCCCGCCGCCGCCGCCGCCGCGGAGCCUGGUGUUUUAGACAGUCCCUUUAUGAGACCACCUCCCCGAGGCCCACCACUGGGCACUGAUGCCAGCCGCAGUUCUGAGAGGCUGACAGUCUGCUGAACCCUCUACCGCUAAUGUCGCAAUCGGGGAGCUGGAGGUCCCAGAGCCCUGAGAAUCAGCUCAUGGACUUGGCCUUUGGAGCACUCAACGGUAGAGUUAAGGUGAAGAAGACGACGACUCAGGGACAGCAGCCGGAGUCACCGUCACUGGUGGCAGCCCCAACGCCUGCACCACGUCAGGCUUGCAUCCCUGCAGAAGCCCACGUGGGGACAGGGUCCAGGAAGCCUGGGUCAGAGCCACUGCCUUUCCAGGAAAGGGUCGAUCUGCUUUAAGUGCGGCCAAGAGGACCACUGGAAAGACGAGUGCCCCCUGCGUGGGAAAGUCCGUUGGAAAAAAAAAAAAAAGAAAGUCCGUCGGGACCCUGCCCACCACACAGAUGACAGGAUGAUGGCAAAAACUCAGCCCCUGUGUCCCAGAGCCGAACCGAAUUUUGGAGACAGUGUUUUGGAUGAAAUAGAAAAGACGAGCUUUAUUGCUUUGCCAGGCAGAGGGGACAGACAGCAGGCUCCUGCCCUGAAAAGCUGUGUGUCCCAACCUGGGAGGAUUUGGUGAGGAGUUUCUAGCAGCGGCUCAAGGGCAGGGCUGCUGGGAAAGGUAAGGAUGUGUGCAGGGCCUGCACCCCUUUCAUCUGGCCUCAAGGGGCCCUGAUGAGCUGCUCAGGGAUAUCAAACUGUGGAUUUUUUCUCUGGAAGGAAGAAUACUAAUGUCUUCCACUUGUCAGGGUUUUUAGUUCUGUAAAAAGCUCAAAGACACUGUUACGUGUAUUCCGUGAGGCAGAGUCAGGACCCCGCCCCAGGCUGCACUGUUUCUUGGCUCUCCCUGCCUUGUCUCUGCAUCCUCUCCUGUCCCUGAUGAGCAGCUGUUUGAAUCUGCCCUUUGGAACUCAGGAAAGGUCAGAGACGAGUCUGUUCCCUACAAACGAGAGACGGGAGACAUGGGAAGCCCACAGGGUUCUGCUUGGUUUCUGGGGCCCCUGGAAGGAGGGCAUUCCCCAGUCCCAAGGGGGACUCAGGGCUCCCAAGCCAGUGAUGGCCGAGAGGAUCAGAGACUGACGGGCCCAGGACCUUC